ensembl:lncRNA
CACACUGUCAAUGAGCAUGGGAGGAGCAGAAGCUGAGAGCCAGUAGAAGACGGUAGUCAGAGGACCAGAGGUAGCUCAGGAGGGUCGUUGCCCCUGAGAAGGAAUCUGGUUCAAGAAGAACCUUUAUUGCCAACUCUGCCUGCUUCGGCUUUCCCAGGUGGCUCCCUGGUAAAGAAUCCGUCUGCCAGUGCAAGAGAUGCAGGAGAGGAGAGUUCCAUCCCUGGAUGGGGAAGAUCCCUGGAGAAGGAAAUGGCAACCUACUCCAGUUAUUCUUGUCUAGGAAAGCCCAUGGACAGAGAAGGCUGGUGGGCCGCAGUCCAUGGGGUCAGCAAAGAGUGGAACACGACUGAGCGACUGAGCACGCACGCAGGCUGCGUUCAACUCGCAGUCUAGAGAGAGAGACGGAGAUUCUUAUUUUUCCGGCACUGAUUGAGCAAUAUCCUGAGUAAGACAAGGCGGGGCCACCCCCGCUUGCUUUCUCUGAAAGCGUGAGUACAGUGCGCGGGAGCGGAGGUAUACAGAAGAGCUCCGAGGUCUGGUCAUCAGAGGCCGGCUUUCCAAGUUCCACUGACGACCGUGAAGAUUCCUCAUGACCGUGCCUACCAUCAACCUGCAGGGACCUCGACAGCGAACGCUGCCCGACCGCAAGCGGCAGCGGGGAUGGAGGGCACUGACCUCCUCGAUCGCCGGUGGCCCCAAACUUCGGUUCGGGUACCUCGUCUUCGUCAUGGGUGUCGUGUUGUGGUGCAUGAAAGUGAAAAGUGAAAGUGAAGCCGCUCAGUCUUAGUGACCCCAUCGACUGCAGCCUACCAGGCUCCUCCGUCCAUGGGAUUCUCCAGGCAGGAGUACUGGAGUGGGGUGCCAUCACUUUCUCCAAAUUAAAGUGUGAGUGCAUGCUAAGUCACUUCCCUUUGUAACCCUAUGGACUGUAGCUUGCCAUGCAUGCUCCUCUAUCCAAGGGAUUCUCCAGGCAAGAAUGGAGUGGGUUGUCGUGCCCUCCCCCAAGGAAUCUUCCCGACCCAGAGAUUGAACCCACAUCUCUUUAAGUCUCUUGCAUUGGCAGGUGGGUUCUUUACCACUGGUGCCACCUGGGAAGCUCUUCCAAUUAAAGAUGUUCUAUUAAAAAGAAUAGGGGUUUGGGAGAAAUGGGGAGUACAAUUUUUUUAAAUUAAAGGAAAAAAAGCGACCUGAAGAUUCACAUUUUUAAAUCACCAUAAAAUAAGUGCAAAUUGAACUCAAAAGAAUAGGGAAAAAAUAAUAAUAUGAGUAGAAAUCAUAUACACAAUGGAUAUUACUCAGCCAUUAAAAAGAAUACAUUUGAAUCAGUUCUAAUGAGGUGGAUGAAACUGGAACCUAUUAUACAGAGUGAAGUAAGCCAGAAAGAAAAACACCAAUACAGUAUACUAACGCAUAUAUAUGGAAUUUAGAA